GUUCUGCUAUGACGAACUAAGAAUAAAAUUCACAUGUCAGACUUCAGAGAUUUUUCAAAAGUCAAUGAGAAUGAUAAUUCUUCACUGAGCAGAAA